rnacentral:rRNA from 1 species
CCUACGGGAGGCUGCAGUCGAGAAUCAUUCACAAUGGGGGAAACCCUGAUGGUGCGACGCCGCGUGGGGGAAUGAAGGUCUUCGGAUUGUAAACCCCUGUCAUGUGGGAGCAAAUUAAAAAGAUAGUACCACAAGAGGAAGAGACGGCUAACUCUGUGCCAGCAGCCGCGGUAAUACAGAGGUCUCAAGCGUUGUUCGGAAUCACUGGGCGUAAAGCGUGCGUAGGCUGUUUCGUAAGUCGUGUGUGAAAGGCGCGGGCUCAACCCGCGGACGGCACAUGAUACUGCGAGACUAGAGUACUGGAGGGGGAAGCGGAAUUCUCGGUGUAGCAGUGAAAUGCGUAGAUAUCGGGAGGAACACUCGUGGCGAAGGCGGGUUCCUGGACAUUAACUGACGCUGAGGCACGAAGGCCAGGGGAGCGAAAGGGAUUAGAUACCCUGGUAGUC